rnacentral:lncRNA from 1 species
GGCGGAACACUUAACUGAUCACAGCCUUCAAGUACAUCAUCUCGUUCGCCUCCUCCUCUUUAACUAGUUCUUUCCCGCAACCUAUCCCUCUCACUUCAUCUUGUAAUUUUCUCAUCGUUGUUGGACUCCGAGCGAGCUCCACCAUGGCGUACUCCAAGAUUGCGGACGAUGUAUCCGAGCCAGCGCUGAAUACAUCCUAAGGAUUAUUAACAUUUUGAGUUAAUGAGACCAUUUGAGAGUCAAACUAAAAGCUACAAAGAUAUUGUGGUAUCCACUCUUUUCACCGAUCAAAUUUCUAAGGAUUUGUAUUGAGUUAAUGAGAUCGAUUGAGAUGGAUCUCAAACUAAAAGCUACAAAGAU